rnacentral:lncRNA from 1 species
UAAAGUUUCGAGCCAAAAAUCAUCAAAAAAACAUCAUGAUCAUAUAAAAGCAGUGAUUAAAAAAGCGCACCUUAAUACAAAGGGAGAGGCGAGUUGAGUUGAAGAAGCAGAGAGGGAUAGCCAGAGGCAACCGGAUGUGAUGGAUGAGUAGGAGAGAGGAUAGGUCCGAGCGAAGAAAGGGAGAGGGAGCAGACUCGACGAAAGGAGAGGGAAGGAGCGAACUCGGCGAGAGAGAGAUAGAGUGGAUAGAUGUUUAGGUUUUAGAACUUUAGAUUAGAUUGGUUUUGGGUUUAUUUUACAUGUUUUAAACUCAUUAGA